rnacentral:tRNA from 1 species
GCGGGUAUAGUUCAACGGUAGAACAUCAGCCUUCCAAGCUGAUUGUGAGGGUUCGAUUCCCUUCACCCGCUCCA